AACGCACAUUGCGCCCGCUAGUAUUCUGGCGGGCAUGCCUGUUCGAGCGUCAUUUCAACCCUCAAGCCCAGCUUGGUGUUGGGAGCUGUUUUAGUUAACACUCCCCAAAUUGAUUGGCGGUCACGUCGAGCUUCCAUAGCGUAGUAAUUUACACAUCGUUACUGGUAAUCGACGCGGCCACGCCGUUAAACCCCAACUUCUGAAUGUUGACCUCGGAUCAGGUAGGAAUACCCGCUGAACUUAA
rnacentral:misc_RNA from 1 species